UCAGCGUGACUGCACUAUCUUUCAUUUUCUGCAAAUUAUUGAACUUGAGAGACAUAGAGAGAGAGAGAACAUUCUCUCUUUCAUCGCCAUUUCUCCUAUUUAUAAUAUUUCUUUUAAGAUUUUACGAUGUUUGAACUUUGAAGAUUUCUCAUUCUGUGUUUUUCACCUCAGUUUUUAAGGUUCUUGCUGAAGCCAAGAUUCUAUUUUCUUCUAUUUCUUUCAGAUUUUCAACAAUGGCAUUCUGAAUCAAGAUAAGUUUGAAGCAAAACAAGGCGCAAGAUUUUUCCUUUCUACCCUUUUUCGUCACAUGAUUGAGGUCAAGAAUCUCCAAAAGAGACGAUGUCGCCCUCCCUCUUCUCCUUUUGUGAGACAGUGAGAGAGAAAGCUGCGAGUGUGCAGGUGUGUGUGUGUGUGAGAGAGAGAGAGAGUGAGAGAGCAUAAAGGGCAACAACAAUCACUUUCCUUGCCCCCCUUUGCUUUAAAGCACACAAAAAUGGAACAAAGCUCAUUUCGCAAACAGGAAAAUGCACUUCUUUAUCUUCCCUAAUCAAUUCUCUCUUCCUUUCUGUUGAGCCCUUUUUUUCUCAAAAUCUGAUCUCUAAUUCUUUCAGCCAAUUUCCCAUCGUUUAGUAGAUAAGCACAAAUGUGGGACUAUUCAUUGUGUAGUCGGCUGCCUUAUGCAUCAUUCCUUUUUCUUGUUACAAUCAUCAAAGUAAAUUAAAGGUACUAAACAACAAAAAGGUGCUGUCUUCACUUGGGAUAUAUUUUUGUCCCAUCAUAUGCUUCCUUUUCUUUCUCCUGUUCAUAAUUUUGGAAGUUUGUGUUUGAGUGAUACUUGAGCUGCAAUGGGCUCUGUUGCAUUUGGUGGCAAAGAUGAGAAUUACAAAUUCGUGAUGGAUGUGGUGUUGUUAAUUAUGCCUCGAUUCCUCGGAAAAUACGGUCUGGCAGGUGGUUAUCCAUAAAAAAGCGAGGCCGUGAGUAUACUUCACCGUUGGUAACUUCAAGGAAGCAGCAUCGUGCAUCGACUAUAGAUGAUACACUCAGAAAAGAGGCUGCUAAGAAAUCCAAACUGAAUAAGAACAUGAAUGAGAGAAAUCAAUUAUGCAUUCUUCGCAUUCUUACCUUUUCAGAAGCAGAGACGCAUCACUAAGGAAGAAGUGGCCGAAACCUUGUAUGCUUUGGCUGGUAUGUUCUCUGAUGCUGAUCAGCAGAAAAUUGUCGACGAAGAAGAUACCCGUCCGACACCACAAGAAGAGACUAGGAAAAUUAGCUCAAAAGCAACUCUUGGAGCUGUUUGUCCUUCAAAUGUGGUGAAAUCAACAGCAGAAGUCGUAUCCCGAACAUUAAAAGCUCGACAACCCAACCUUUUUUUUCUCUAGCAAGCAGGCGGCGAAGUAAAAGUUUUUCUCAUGUCUUUUAGAAUUUAGCUAUUUUGUUCUUACUGGCUCACUUAUUUAUAUUGCAGAUCAUUAGUAUCAAUAAUUGACAUGAAUCAAAGUGGUGAACAGGAAUUUCACUUGGAUCAUACCAGAAUUGCUGCUGAAUCGAACAAGUCGUGGAAGAGGUGUUUAUCGCAUGUUUACAUAAGUCGUCUUAUCAAAGUCUUGCAAAUAUCAGACAGAAAAGGAUGGCCUAUUCAACCAGCAGCUUUUCAAAAUGCAGACAACCAGAUUCUGAGAACAAGAAACAGCAAUACCUAUUUUAGUGCCAUCGACUUAGUAGCUGCUGAAAAGGAUUCAUCUGAAACCCGUAUAGGUAUCCUUCUGAGCAAGAGGCCUAUCCAGGAUCAGCAGAUGGCUUCUGAAACCUCUGCAAAGCAGGUUGGCUCUGUAUGAGAAUGCAGGGAUACGACUUUUUAUGUUUGGGGACGGAGCUUUGUGGUUUGGACACCGGUGAGAAUGCAAAGGCAGCAGGAUGUUUUCUCAAGCCUCCUAAACAGUACCACAUGGCAUACACACAAAACCAGUCCAAUGUGCUUUGUUCACAGCCCCUGUAUGGUUAUUCUUCGUCUUCGCACAGUCUUAAUUUAGCUUCCACAGCACAACAGGUGGUGCAGCUCUCUCAGUAUCAUAGCAGCAGAACAGGACAGCAGCAGAAGUGGCCGGCUCGGCUUUAUAACACGAGAGAAGGUGGUGCGCCAUGCCUUCCUCUCAACUGGAGAAAUGAAACCGUGCUGAACUCUCUGUUCCCACAUCUGCAACAACUCUCACCUUCAAAACAGCAGGUUAUGGCUAUCAACACGACGUCAGCUCCCAAUAGACAUAGCAACCUGCCUUUCGGAUUCGAGAGAAACAGAACCUUAUUCCAUCCUGAAAAUAUGGCCUGCAACCACCACCUUUGACAUGGAUAAAAGACUGCCAAAAAUAUCAUCAUUUGUUUAUUACGUAUUUCUCUUUUUUUUGGUUAAAAUCUACAGAACUUGAGUCAUUGAACUAUUCUGCAGCAAACUGCUAUAGGAUUUGUACUACUUAAUAUAAAUUUAGUUAAUGAGUUAAUGAUAAGUGACAACAUUUACAUGAAAA